UCACUGCUGAGUCCGUGCUGAGGCUCGC
rnacentral:piRNA from 1 species